rnacentral:rRNA from 1 species
UACGUAGGGUGCGAGCGUGUCCGGAAUUACUGGGCGUAAAGCGCCUGUAGGCGGCCUGUCAAGUCCGGCCUGAAAGCCCCCCGCUCAACGGGGGGAGGGUGGCUGGAAACUGGCAGGCUUGAGGGCGAGAGAGGAGGGUGGAAUUCCUGGUGUAGCGGUGAAAUGCGUAGAGAUCAGGAGGAACACCCGUGGCGAAGGCGGCCCUCUGGCUCGACCCUGA